UACGUAGGGGGCAAGCGUUGUCCGGAAUCAUUGGGCGUAAAGCGCGCGUAGGCGGCCCUGUAAGUCCGUUGUGAAAGUCAAAGGCUCAAUCUUUGAAAGCCGAUGGAUACUGCAGGGCUAGAGUCCGGAAGAGGCGAGUGGAAUUCCUGGUGUAGCGGUGGAAUGCGCAGAUAUCAGGAGGAACACCAAUAGCGAAGGCAGCUCGCUGGGACGGUACUGACGCUAAGGCGCGAAAGCGUGGGGAGCGAACAGG
rnacentral:rRNA from 1 species